GGGGCUGUAGCUCAGUGGCAGAGUGCUUGCCUAGCAUGCAUGAGGCUCUGGGUUCGAUCCUCAGCACCA
rnacentral:tRNA from 1 species